AACGAACGCUGGCGGCAGGCUUAACACAUGCAAGUCGAACGCCCCGCAAGGGGAGUGGCAGACGGGUGAGUAACGCGUGGGAAUCUACCCAAUUCUACGGAAUAACCCAGGGAAACUUGGACUAAUACCGUAUACGCCCUACGGGGGAAAGAUUUAUCGGAAUGGGAUGAGCCCGCGUAAGAUUAGCUAGUUGGUGGGGUAAUGGUCUACCAAGGCGACGAUCUUUAGCUGGUCUGAGAGGAUGAUCAGCCACACUGGGACGGAGACACGGCCCAGACUCCUACGGGAGGCAGCAGUGGGGAAUAUUGGACAAUGGGCGCAAGCAUGAUCCAGCCAUGCCGCGUGAGUGAUGAAGGCCUUAGGGUUGUAAAGCUCUUUCAGUGGGGAAGAUAAUGACGGUACCCACAGAAGAAGCCCCGGCUAACUUCGUGCCAGCCGCCGCAGUAACAC
rnacentral:rRNA from 1 species